CGGCGUGGAUGAGGCAUGCAAGUCGAACGAAGUAUUUGGGUAACUAAAUACUUAGUGGCGAAAGGGUUAGUAAUACAUGGAUAACCUGCCUCUAACUUGGGAAUAACGGCUGGAAACGGCCGCUAAUACCGAAUGUGGUGGGAGGAGUUCGCUCCUCUUCAUUAAAGCGGGGGUCGUAAGACCUCGCGGUAAAGGAAGGGUCCAUGCGAUAUCAGCUUGUUGGUGAGGUAAAAGCUCACCAAGGCUAAGACGUCUAGGCGGGUUGAGAGAUCGACCGCCAACACUGGGACUGAGACACUGCCCAGACUCCUACGGGAGGCUGCAGUCGAGAAUCAUUCACAAUGGGCGAAAGCCUGAUGAUGCGACGCCGUGUGAGCGAUGAAGGCCUUAGGGUUGUAAAGCUCUUUCGCUUGGGAACAAGGGACUCGGAUUAAUACCCCGGGAACUUGAGGGUACCAAGUAAAGAAGCACCGGCUAACUCCGUGCCAGCAGCUGCGGUAAUACGGAGGGUGCGAGCAUUAAUCGGAUUUAUUGGGCGUAAAGAGCGCGUAGGUGGGCUAGUAAGUCAGACGUGAAAGCCCGGAGCUCAACUCCGGAACUGCAUUUGAAACUACUAGCCUUGAGGAUAGGCGGAGAAGACGGAAUUCCACGUGUAGCGGUGAAAUGCGUAGAUAUGUGGAAGAACACCGGUGGCGAAGGCGGUCUUCUAGCUUAUUCCUGACACUGAGGCGCGAAAGCAAGGGGAGCGAACAGGAUUAGAUACCCUGGUAGUCCUUGCCGUAAACGAUGCAUACUUGGUGUAGCUGGUCUCAACCCCAGCUUUGCCGAAGCUAACGCGUUAAGUGUGCCGCCUGGGGAGUACGCCCGCAAGGGUGAAACUCAAAAGAAUUGACGGGGACCCGCACAAGCAGUGGAGCAUGUGGUUUAAUUCGAUGCAACGCGAAGAACCUUACCCAGACUUGACAUAUAGUGGACCGCUUUGGAAACAGAGUUUCUCGUAUGAGCCACUAAACAGGUGCUGCAUGGCUGUCGUCAGCUCGUGCCGUGAGGUGUUGGGUUAAGUCCCGCAACGAGCGCAACCCUUAUCAUUAGUUGCCAGCACGUAAUGGUGGGGACUCUAGUGAGACUGCCUGGGUUAACCAGGAGGAAGGUGAGGAUGACGUCAAGUCAGCAUGGCCCUUAUGUCCAGGGCUACACACGUGCUACAAUGGUCGGUACAGAGGGCAGCGAAACCGUGAGGUCAAGCAAAUCCCAGAAAGCCGGUCCCAGUUCGGAUUGUAGUCUGCAACUCGACUACAUGAAGUUGGAAUUGCUAGUAAUGGCGUGUCAGCAACAACGCCGUGAAUACGUUCCCGGGUCUUGUACACACCGCCCGUCACAUCAUGGAAGUUGGUUUUACCCGAAGUCGCUGACUCAACCGCAAGGAGAGAAGCGCCUAAGGUGAGGCUGGUGACUAGGAUGAAGUCGUAACAAGGUAGA
rnacentral:rRNA from 1 species